rnacentral:rRNA from 1 species
CCUACGGGAGGCUGCAGUGGGGAAUAUUGGACAAUGGGCGAAAGCCUGAUCCAGCCAUGCCGCGUGUGUGAAGAAGGCCUUCGGGUUGUAAAGCACUUUCAGUGGGGAAGAAAGCCUUGGGGCUAAUACCCUCGAGGAAGGACAUCACCCACAGAAGAAGCACCGGCUAACUCCGUGCCAACAGCCGCGGUAAUACGGAGGGUGCGAGCGUUAAUCGGAAUUACUGGGCGUAAAGCGCGCGUAGGCGGUCUGAUAAGCCGGUUGUGAAAGCCCCGGGCUCAACCUGGGAACGGCAUCCGGAACUGUCAGGCUAGAGUGCAGGAGAGGAAGGUAGAAUUCCCGGUGUAGCGGUGAAAUGCGUAGAGAUCGGGAGGAAUACCAGUGGCGAAGGCGGCCUUCUGGACUGACACUGACGCUGAGGUGCGAAAGCGUGGGUAGCAAACAGGAUUAGAUACCCCGGUAGUC